rnacentral:rRNA from 1 species
GGAAACUGCCUGAUGGAGGGGGGUAACUACUGGAAACGGUAGCUAAUACCGCAUAACGUCGCAAGACCAAAGAGGGGGACCUUCGGGCCUCUUGCCAUCGGAUGUGCCCAGAUGGGAUUAGCUAGUAGGUGGGGUAACGGCUCACCUAGGCGACGAUCCCUAGCUGGUCUGAGAGGAUGACCAGCCACACUGGAACUGAGACACGGUCCAG